rnacentral:misc_RNA from 1 species
AUUGGAUUUUAAUGAAUACCAUUUAUUUCUGCUUUCAUUAUUGCCUGCAAUGCUGUUAACUGGCCUGAAAAUUUUGGCCAAAUGUAUAAUGUUUCUUCCUUGGCCGUUUUCCUAAUUCAAAAGGAUGUCAAUAAUUAGAUGACUGCAGUGCUUGUAGUAUUAGUAGUGGAGAUAGCAGGGGGGGCGUGUCCAUUCAUAUUUGGUUCAACUGAAUAUUGACAGGUGCAAUAUUUUAUGUUCAUCAUUUAGAAAUUUUCAUGAAAGAGCUGUAUUAGAUUUCUUGAAGAUUGCAUCUUGAUUUUUGAUUUGACUACAAAGAGAGGCUAUGUCUUUGAUUUGACCACCAGGGGAAC